rnacentral:rRNA from 1 species
UACGGGGGGGGUAAGCGUUGUUCGGAAUUACUGGGCGUAAAGAGCGUGUAGGCGGCCGCACAGGUCCGUUGUGAAAACUGGAGGCUUAACCUUCAGACGUCGAUGGAAACCGUGCGGCUAGAGUCCGGAAGAGGAGAAUGGAAUUCCUGGUGUAGCGGUGAAAUGCGCAGAUAUCAGGAAGAACACCCGUGGCUAAGGCGGUUCUCUAGUACGGUACUGACGCUGAGACGCGAAAGCGUGGGGAGCGAACAGG